rnacentral:rRNA from 1 species
UACGUAGGGGGCAAGCGUUGUCCGGAAUCAUUGGGCGUAAAGCGCGUGUAGGCGGCUUGGUAAGUUUGGUGUGAAACCUCGGGGCUCAACCCCGAGCCUGCACUGGAUACUGCCUCGCUUGAGUCCGGGAGGGGAGAGCGGAAUUCCUAGUGUAGCGGUGAAAUGCGCAGAUAUUAGGAAGAACACCGGUGGCGAAGGCGGCUCUCUGGAACGGUACUGACGCUGAGACGCGAAAGCGUGGGGAGCAAACAGG